GAUGAACGCUGGCGGCGUGCCUAAUACAUGCAAGUCGAGCGAACGGACGAGAAGCUUGCUUUUCUGAUGUUAGCGGCGGACGGGUGAGUAACACGUGGAUAACCUACCUAUAAGACUGGGAUAACUUCGGGAAACCGGAGCUAAUAUCGGAUAAUAUUUUGAACCGCAUGGUUCAAAAGUGAAAGACGGUCUUGCUGUCACUUAUAGAUGGAUCCGCGCUGCAUUAGCUAGUUGGUAAGGUAACGGCUUACCAAGGCAACGAUGCAUAGCCGACCUGAGAGGGUGAUCGGCCACACUGGAACUGAGACACGGUCCAGACUCCUACGGGAGGCAGCAGUAGGGAAUCUUCCGCAAUGGGCGAAAGCCUGACGGAGCAACGCCGCGUGAGUGAUGGAGGUCUUCGGAUCGUAAAACUCUGUUAUUAGGGAAGAACAUAUGUGUAAGUAACUGUGCACAUCUUGACGGUACCUAAUCAGAAAGCCACGGCUAACUACGUG
rnacentral:rRNA from 1 species